UGGGGAAUAUUGGACAAUGGGCGAAAGCCUGAUCCAGCAAUGCCGCGUGAGUGAUGAAGGCCUUAGGGUUGUAAACUGCUUUUGUACGGAACGAAACGGCGAGCUCUAAUAAAGUUUGCUAAUGACGGUACCGUAAGAAUAAGCACCGGCUAACUACGUGCCAGCAGCCGCGGUAAUACGAAGGGAGCUAGCGUUGUUCGGAAUCACUGGGCGUAAAGCGCACGUAGGCGGAUAGUUAAGUCAGGGGUGAAAUCCUGGGGCUCAACCCCAGAACUGCCUUUGAUACUGGCUGUCUCGAGGUCGAGAGAGGUUGGUGGAAUUCCUAGUGUAGAGGUGAAAUUCGUAGAUAUUAGGAAGAACACCAGUGGCGAAGGCGGCCAACUGGCUCGAUACUGACGCUGAGGUGCGAAAGCGUGGGGAGCAAACAGGAUUAGAUACCCCCGUAGUCCCUGAGCGGGCUGGCAAGGCGCAU
rnacentral:rRNA from 1 species